CCCCUCUCAAGCUCGCACCUGGAGAGUUUCCAGUACUCUACCAGUCUCGGCUAGGGAUGGAGAGUCAAGCAGAAGCAUACCCAUUCCAUUCCUAGUUUGGGUAGUAGGUAGUGAGUGGAAGGAAAUCUGCUACGAAU